rnacentral:lncRNA from 1 species
AUUAAUCAUGUUGCUCACUGCAUCUUAAGCUCGGGUCUGUUAACUUGUACAAAUUAAUUUCUUAUUUCAGUUUAACUAAAGUAUCUUAAAUUUUUUUUCAUUUUUUUGUUGUACCAUUCUCCGUUCGUGGACUACUGCAUGGUUAUAACCGGCGAAUGGAAGGCCUAUGCGUUCAUAACCCUUACCACACGAGCUUCUUCGUCUCUGGUGACAAGCAGCAACACCACCUACGUUAACCAUUACACUCGCCGCGUCGUUCUUUGCCGUCACUAUCAGGCUCAGUUGCAAAACGAAAGCUCAAGCAGCAAUUGGCAAGUUUCUUGUAUUUGCAUGUUUAGUCCUUUAAUUUUUAGGAUAAACUUUUUUUGUCUUAAACUCUCUGAUUUGCAUAUACAUCUUCUCGAAUUGACCCCCAGAUUUCCUAAUACACAAUUUAGCUCAUGUUUUGAUGCACAUAAUUUAUCAUUGUCUUUAAAUCCGAUAUUUUACUAUUAAUAUUCAUC